ensembl:lncRNA
UAUCCCCUCCCGCCGCCCGCCCUCCGACCUUCUCCCGGCCGCCUCGGCCCCUGGACGCCGGGCCCAGCUGGUGACGCCGGGAGGGCCGUCCCCUCCACCCCGCCCGCCCCGCUCGGCCUUCCCUGGCUCUCCUCGGUUUCUCAGGGCCGCGGCGGCUCGGCCCGCGCACGUCCCCGUGGGCCCCAGGACGGGAACCGCGAGCGGUCGCUGCCCGCACGGUUGGCGCGGACUCUGCCAGACCGAAGCCCGGGGUCCCGCGCGCCCGCAGCGCCCCUGAGACUCGUCGCGGGACGAAGCCACCGGCCCCCGGCUCCGGCUCCGGCUCCGGAUCCCGCCCCGACGACCUGACCCCGCGGCGAGCGCCUCCCGCAGGCCCUCCCGUGCGCACCGCACACUGCCCGGGAUGGAGCCGCCAGGCGGGCGGCGGAGGACCCCCCGCGCCCCAGCAGCCGCCGCCGGGCCCCUGGCCACCCUCUGCGCGCAGGCUCCCUGGCCUCCGAACAUCUUGGAUUAUUUCUAAAAGAACCCUGGAAAGCUCUGCAUCCCCUCACCCAUGUUGGAAGAAGGGCAAAUGUGAAGAAGAGGUGAGAAGGGAGAAGAUUGGACCCAUACCUGACCCCUUGACAGCUGGCACCUUCCCAGGGAGGUAAGUUCUUGGAAGAGGACACAGAAAUAUUCAGGUUCUAGAAAUCCAUUCCCUUCAAGCUGGGGUCAGCAAACCUUUUCUGUAAAGGACCAGAUAGUAAAUAUUUUAGGCUUUUCCAUAUGGCCUCUGUCCCAGCUCUUUAACUCUGCCCUUAUAGCACAAAAACUGCCACAGACAAUAUGUAAACUAAGGAGUGUGGCUGUGUUCCAGUAAAACUUUAUUCAUGAACACUUACAUUUGAAUUUCAUAUAAUUUUUACGUGUCCCAAAGUAUUACUCCUCUUUUGACCUCCCCCCAUUAUUUAAAACUGUAAAAUCCAUCCCAGCUCCUGGGGUAGUAAAAGGAGGCCAGAUUUGGGCCACAGGCUAAUCUUUGCCCCAAAGCAUCCAUGGAGGCAUGCCCCUUGAGAAUGUGUAUAUUCUAGUUUGAACUCGUGAUCCUGGUUUUCAACUCUAGCUACAUAUGAGAAUAACGAGAUGCUUGCUUUAUUUAUUUUUAAAUUUCAGUUUAAACUAUUAUUAGUUUCAGGGGUAGAAUUUAGUGAUUCAUCAGUUGCAUAUAACACCCAGUGCUUAUUACCAUCAAGUGCCCUCCUUAAUGCCUGUCACCCAGUUACCCCAUCGCCCCACCCACCUCCCCUCCAGCAACCCUCAGUUUAUUUCCCAGAAUGAAGUGUCUCUUAUGGUUUGACUGCCUCUCUAUUUUCAUCUUAUGUUAUUUUUCCUUCCCUUCCCCUAUAUUCAUCUGUUUUGUUUCUUAAAUUCCACAUGUGAGUGAAAUCAUAUGGUAUUUGUCUUUCUCUGACUGAUUAAUCAUGCUUAGCACGAUUAGAUCAUGCUUAGCAUGAUACCCUCUAGUUCCACCCAUGUUGUUGCAAAUGGCAAAAUUUCAUUCUUUUUGAUGGCUGAGUAAUAUUUCAUUGUGUAUAAAUACCACAUCUUUUCCCAUUCAUCUGUUGAUGGACAUCUGGGCUCUUUCCACAGUUUGGCUAUUGUGGACUAUAUAACAUUGUGGACUAUAACAUUGUGGACUAUAACAUUGUGGACUAUUGUGGCUAUUGUGGACUAUAACAUUGUGGACUGCUAUUAACAUUGGGGUGCAGGUGCCCCUUCGAAUCACUAUGUUUGUAUCCUUUGGAUAAAUACCCAGUAGUGCAAUUGCUGGGUUGUAGGAUAGCUCUAUUUCUAACUUCUUGAGGAACCUCCACACUGUUUUCCAGAGUGGCCGCACCAGCUUGAAUUCUCACCAACAGUGUCAGAGGGUUCCCCUUUCUUCACAUCCUCUCCAACUGUUGUUUCCUGAAGUGUUCGUUUUAGCCAUUCUGACAGGCGUAAGAUGGUAUCUCAUUGUGGUUUUGAUUUACUUCUCUGACGAUGAGUGAUGUUGAGCACUUUUUCCUAUGUCUGUUGGCCAUAUGUAUGUCUUUGGAGAAAUGUCUGUUUGUGUCUUCCGCCCCUUUCUUGACUGGGUUUUUAUUUUUGGAGUGUAGAGUUUGAGAAAUUCUUUAUAGAUCUUGGAUACUAACCCUUUAUGUGAUAUGUUAUUUGCAAAUAUCUUCUCAUGUUCUGUUAGACUGCCUUUUGGUUUUGUCGGCUGUUUCCCUUGCUGUGAAAGCUUUUUAUCUUGAUGAAGUCUCAAUAGUUCAUUUUUACUUUUGUUUCCCUUGCUGCAUAAGGUGCUUUAAGAAAUACCAAUACCCAGCCCCACCCUCUCCAUACUGAUUUAGUUGGUCUGGGUGGAGUCCAGGCAUAAGCUUCUUCUUCUUCUUUUUUUUUUUUUUUCCCUUUAAGAGUUUCUCAGGCAAUUUUAAUGUUGCAGCUUGACUUAGGUCACUAUUCUGAUUGCCAUAGGCUGUGCCACAGCUCUCAGGGCAUGAUGCUGCUCUGUGCCAUGGUUACUGCAUUUCAUCCAGUGGAAAGCAUCACCAGCAUAACAUAAAGUGCAACCUGAAAGAUUAUAAAAUGUAAGGGCACCUGGCUGGCUCAGGGGGAGGAGCAUGUGACUCUUGAUCUUGGGAUCUUGAGAUUAAGCCCCACGGUGAGUAUAGAGACUACUUAAAUAAACAAAUAAAUCAAUAAAUAAAUAUAAAAAAA